GAUGAAGAACGUAGCGAACUGCGAUAAGUAAUGUGAAUUGCAGAAUUCAGUGAAUCAUCGAGUCUUUGAACGCACAUUGCGCCCACUGGCAUUCCGGGGGGCAUGCCUGUCCGAGCGUCAUUGCUGCCCUUCAAGCCCGGCUUGUGUGUUGGGUCGUCGUCCCCCCCGGGGGACGGGCCCGAAAGGCAGCGGCGGCACCGCGUCCGGUCCUCGAGCGUAUGGGGCUUUGUCACCCGCUCGAUUAGGGCCGGCCGGGCGCCAGCCGGCGUCUCCAACCUUCUAUUUUACCAGGUUGACCUCGGAUCAGGUAGGGAUACCCGCUGAACUUAAGCAUAUCAAUAAGCGGAGGA
rnacentral:misc_RNA from 1 species